GCAUAUUUUAUUUGAUUGAAAACAAUCACAUAUUUGAAUGUGAUAAGCCCAAGUGAUCACCUAAAGGGGUUUAUUUCAUUUGGGUCGUUCAUUCAACCGUGCGCCGCCGCGAGCAGCCAAAUUCCGAUCAUCUCCUUUUCCAGUUACCUCUACAAAGCAAGUUUACAUGUAUGCGACGGUUUCGCCCCUAAAUAAACAAAGAGGUUUGGCAGCUGCAGGCAAGGAUUCAGCUAACCUAGGGUUUCACAUAGGGUUGAGAGGCUUCCUGUGCUACGAGGUACUUCUCCAGAAGAAUUAGAUUUUUCUUCUUCGAAAUGAAGUUAAGCUGGAUAAAUGUUGUUUCUUCUUUGAGACAAUCAAGGCAUGUGCUAUCCCAUAACAAAAAGUUGAAGUCUUUACCAGAUUCAUAUUUGCGCAGAAUUACUGCAUUUUCUGAGCGUAGUCUUGUUAGAGAGUAUUGUUCUGGGAGGAAUGGUAGGGAGGAUUCAAAUGUUUGGACUGAAGAAAUAGAUUACUUAGAUGAGUCAGGCAGCGUUAUUUACUCCGGUAAGGGAAUUAGGUCGGUGGAGCCAAGGAUUGAUGAUCAUGUAAUGGCGGGUGGGGUAAGGAAGCCCAUCAUGAACGUUUCAGCUGUGGCUAAGAUAGUUGAGGUGGUGAAGAGGUGGAGAUGGGGCCCUGAUAUGGAGGCUCAACUGGAUAAGCUUCCAUUUGUGCCAAACAUGACUCACAUCACUCAGGCGCUGAAGAUAAUCGAGGAUAGUGAAGCCGUGUUGAGUUUGUUUCGUUGGGGAAAGAGGCAGCCGUGGUAUUUGCCUAGUGAUGAAUGUUAUGUCAUGCUGUUUGACAAGUUGAAUUUGAGUAGGGAUUUUGAGGGGAUUCAGUCUGUUUUUGAGGAGAUGGUUAGCAAUGCGGAUGCAAGUGGGGUUUCUUCAUCUGGUGCGUAUAACAGGGUGCUUCAGUAUCUGGCUAAGUCUGAGAAAUUGGAGGUUACUUUCUGUUGCUUCAAGAAAGUUCAGGAGCUGGAUUGUAAACUUGAUACUCAGACAUAUAAUGCACUUAUAACUCUGUUUCUCACUAAAGGGCUGCCUUAUAAGGCGUUCGAGAUUUAUGCAAACAUGGAGAAGGAUGGGUGUUCCUUAGAUGCAUCGACUUAUGACCUGAUGAUACCCAGCCUUGCUAAGUCUGGCCGUCUAGAUGCUGCUUUCAAGCUCUUCCAGGAGAUGAAAGCAAAGAAUUAUCGACCAACUUCUGGCAUUUUUGUUUGUUUGGUCGAUACAAUGGGGAAGGCUGGGAGGUUGGAUACAGCAAUGAAGGUAUACAUGGAAUUGCAAGGUUUUGGGUUGAGGCCAUCUGGAGCUAUGUUUGUUUCUCUUAUCGAGUCAUUUGUUAAGGCUGGGAAGCUUGACGCGGCUUUGAAGCUCUGGGAUGAGAUGAAAAGGUCGGGGCUUAGACCUAAUUAUGGGCUGUACACUAUGAUUGUUGAGGCUCAUGCUAAAUCAGGGAAACUUGAGAUUGCAAUGUCAAUAUUCUCGGACAUGGAAAAGGCUGGAUUUUUACCUACGCCAUCAACCUACUCCUCUCUCCUUGAGAUGCAUGCUGCUUCUGGACAAGUAGACGCUGCAAUGAAAUUGUACAACUCCAUGGCAAAUGCAGGUUUGAGGCCUGGUCUGAGCACUUAUACAGGUCUUCUGACUUUGUUGGCGAAAAAGAAGCUUGUGGACGUGGCUGCGAAAGUUUUGCUUGAGAUGAAGGCAAUGGGUUAUUCAGUUGAGGUGAAUGCUAGUGAUGUUCUCAUGGUUUACAUAAAAGAUGGUUCUGUUGAUCUUGCUUUGAGGUGGCUGCGUUUUAUGGGUUCAUCAGGGAUUCGAACAAAUAACUUCAUCAUUAGGCAGCUAUUCGAGUCAUGCAUGAAGAAUGGCUUAUAUGAGUCUGCUAAGCCUCUCCUUGAAACAUAUGUUAACAGUGCUGCUAAGGUUGACCUCAUACUUUACACGUCGAUUCUAGCUCAUCUUGUUAGAUGCCAGGAAGAGCACAAUGAGAGGCAUUUGAUGUCAAUCUUGAGUGCUACAGAUCAUAAGGCUCAUGCUUUCCUAUGUGGACUCUUUACUGGAACUGAACAGAGGAAACAACCGGUUUUAUCAUUUGUCAGAGAAUUUUUCCAAGGUAUUGAUUAUGAAUUGGAAGAAGGAGCUGCCAGGUACUUUGUCAACGUGCUCCUUAACUACCUUGUCCUAAUGGGACAAAUAAAUCGUGCUCGGUGUGUCUGGAAAGUUGCAUACGAGAAGAAGCUUUUCCCUAAAGCGAUUGUCUUUGAUCAACACAUCGCCUGGUCCCUGGAUGUCAGGAAUUUGUCUGUUGGGGCGGCUCUUAUAGCAGUCGUGCACACCCUUCACAGAUUCAGGAAACGCAUGUUAUAUUAUGGUGUUGUCCCAAGACGGAUCAAACUAGUCACUGGACCAACUCUGAGGAUAGUAAUAGCACAAAUGCUCUGUUCCCUGGAAUCACCAUUUGAGGUCAGUAAGGUGGUCUUGAGGGCCCCAGGAGAUUCAGUUCUUGAGUGGUUUAAGAAACCAAUCGUCCAGCAAUUCCUUUUGAAUGAGAUUCCAUCAAGAUCCGACAUCUUGAUGCAUAAGCUCAACACCAUCUUCCCUAGUUCAGCACCUGAAAUCAGAUCAUUAUCUCCCCCUAAGCCCCAUGUUUCUGGAAAGGGAAUGCAAAUAUGAAAAUAAUCACAGGUGAUUGAUCAUUUUUAUCAAAUCUGUAUAUCUAUGUGCACAUCAUAAUUCUCCGUAUCAUGUAUUAGAAAUAUUUUCUAGUAAUAUGCCAUGCUUUAUCUGAUGUGUACCAGAAACUCCCUCACAGCUUGCAGAAUAAGUAAUAACUUCCAGAAUGCAUUAAACUAAAUCUGCAGUGGCAGCUUAUUAUGCUACGUGUCAUCUUUAUCAAGCUGUUUGCAAUUAUGCAACCUCUUGUUGUGUAUGAGAUUGAUUUGAUAAUGUUUUACUGCUGAUGAGUCUUACCAGCACAUAUAGUCAAUUUAGAUGGUUUGAGUUUAUUCUUGAGACCUGUUCUUGAUCAAGUUCUCCUUGUUGAAGGUGUAUGAUUUUAUUUAGAAGCAGUCAUUAGUUUGAUGUCCUAGGAUUGAAAUUAGUUCUAAGAAAUUCUUAUGUGUAAGUAGUCCUUAUAAGCUGGCUCUGUCUCAUAUUGAUUAUAUAUGGUUGGAAUUUUUUAUUGGUGAAGUACCCAGUUCUAAGAAUAAUUGAACAUCCAUAUAUAUAGAGGCGAAUUCACGAGACAACGAAAUCUUAGAGAUGCUGGAUGUAGAAGCUCUACAAUGUUCUGCAUAUUUAUGUGACCUGUAUUUGUUGUUUCUGCAUGCUGGCUGUAAACCCGGAUUUUUGUGUUUGUUACUGGGAGUUUAUAUAUUGUAGACUGAAAACUUCUUAAGUACGGAGUACCUGAUUGCAAAUUAGAUUUCCAUGUAUGAGAGAAUUGGUAUAGACAGCAGCAAUGCGUGGUUAAAAAAACGCCCGAAUCUCUUUGAGAUGAUGUAUAUAGAAGUGAGAGGUAGAAUCCUCAAAGUGUGGUCUGUUUAUCUGGCCAACUCUCGUUGUACAUUAGCUGAUGACUUGUGCAGUAUAUCAUCUGAUUGCAUGUUUUUAAUACAAUCUCAUGAAAAGCAUAGUGUAGUAAACUGGAACCUCACCAUGAUCAAAAUCAAGAUAUAGUCUUGUAGUUUGACAUCAGACCAUUAUUUACUGGUUCCUAAAUUUGUGGAUUUAUGAAUUAAUGUCCAAUUGAGUCGAGUUUGUGUUGUUUUAGCAAUCCACUCCAACCUCUUGCUUCAUCUAUCCUAGUUCCAUGGAAGCACAAUUUAUUUGGAAGGACGACUCAUUAUAGUCGGGGCUUUAUUUGGUUGCUUGUGCGUCGUACAGUGAUAAACAGGCUAGCAUCGCCUGUCGCAGCAUUCUUCAAGUUCUUUGAAACCUCAAAUAUGCAGCUUAAGAGACUCUUUGAAACCUCAAGGUCUGGAAAUCUGCAGCUGAGAGAGAGAGAGAGAGAGAGAGAGAGAGAGUCAAGUAGUAAAAGAAACGAAAGAAAUUUGAUAUUAGUAUUUGGACUAGAAGCAUUAGUAAUGUAUAGUAUAGGUGGGAAGUGAAAAUCUCCCAGCCUACAGCAUAUUUAAUGAAGCUGCAUUUUAAGCAAAUUUUAUGGACAAGAAAUUCAUCGUUGUAAGAACACUAUAAAUAGGAAGAGAAAGCGAAAUGGUGUCGUAUAUGCAGCCGCUACCUUCGGUGCCAACUGAUUUGUGAUUACACCUCCUUUCUUGUGCAAUAACAUGAAAAUCACAAUGAAAUAUGAAAUUAUAUCAUAUUUUAGAUA